CACACUUGUUCUUCCCACCCGCAGUUGCGGCGGUGCAUAGUCUCAGGCGAUUAAAAGGGGAAAGUCGGACUGGGAGUCGGAAACCGCUGUAGAAUGUAGAGGUUAACAAGUCCGUUUCCCUUCCUCUCCCCCAUCGUCGAGCGAUUCCUCCCUUGUUCUCUUCUACUCUCUCUCGACUCUAUAAAAGCUUCCUCUCUUUCUUUAUCCCCAUCCCUGAUUCAAAGACAUCUCCCCUCCUCCCGUUUCGAAGCCACCGAUCGUGCUCGAUCAAAACCCUAAUUCAUCUCUUCGCGACCUCCGUCGCCUCUCCUCUCUCUCGAUUCGGGGAAUCGGUGGAGGGUUCUGGGGGAAUUCGUAGAUUCCGGCCAGAGUUAGGGUUUUCGGCUUUCUUGAUUUGAAUUGGUGAGGUUUUCUUGGUUGGGGGGCUAGGGUUUGGGAAAGGAUCCAUGGCGGCAGAGGGGGAGGAGGUGGAGUACGAGAGCGAUCCCGAGGAUGCGCCGCUGCCGUCGAUGCGGCGGAGGGAGGCGAGCGACGACGAGGACGGGGAGGGGUCAGACGGGGGAGGCAAGACGACGAGGAGCGAUCCUAGGGCGGGGAUUGGAUCUGAUGGCGAGUCGGACGGUCAGGGCGGAGCCCAGGUGUACGAAGAUGAUGAGGAAUUCGAGGCGGAGCAAGAUGACGAGGAAUUAGAGGCGGGGGAAGAAGUGGAGGAAGAACUCGAAGAAGAAGGAGCGGAACUUGAGGAGAGUGCUGGUGAAGAGGGUGGGCAUCAUGGUUCUGUAGGGAAGGCUGAAAGCCCUGCCGAGGGGCGGCCGCCGGUGGAACCCGCCGGCGAUGGCUGGAGAUCUGGUGGGGAACCAGUGGAAUAUCGGGGCAAGAAUCAAGUGGAAGAGGAGGAAAAGAAGGAGAACGAGCCGUACGCUGUGCCGACUGCCGGGGCUUUCUACAUGCAUGACGAUCGCUUCCAGGAAAAUGGCCGGGGUCGCCACAGGCGUAUGUUUGGUGGGCGGAAAUUGUGGGACCCAAAAGAUGACCAUGCCUGGGUGCAUGAUAGGUUUGAAGAGAUGAACUUGCAAGAUGCACAUUAUGAUGAGGAAAGGAGAAGAUCCAGAGGUCGAUUUAGAGGCCGUGGUAGUGGCAAAAGAUGGGGUAAUGAUCGUGGUUAUGCUCGAGGUAGCAAAUCUCGUGCUUACUGUGGCGAUGGUGGCAACCAAAGCCGUGCUUCAAAGUCUGUGAGAGGGAGAGGGCCAAGACGCUAUGAACCUCUUCCAAAACACAACAGCGAGAUCCCUGCAACUCAAAACAAGCACUCUGUAAAACCUCAAGAACCAACAGCCAAUGCAUAUGCAGGGAGACCCUCUUCACAAACUUCAAAUGUGCAACUGGAACCAGUAGUUCCUAGGAAGCAAGUUUUUCCUUCGAGUUUAAGUUCUGCUUCUCCUCCAUUUUACCCCUCUGGGUCAUCCAAUCAAGAUAUCUCCAUGACUCAGAAAAGCAAUGCACAAAUUGGAAGUGCCAAUAAGACACUGUCAUCUUCGAUGCAGAUGGAGGAUAAUUUUUCAGCUUCGCAAUCUGGUUCGUUGUCGAGAGGCAAAAUGAUUGUUGAUUCCCUAGCUCAUGAUAGGUUAUGUGCUGAUGAUUCUCUUCGUCGAGGUGCUGGAAAAGUGAUGGCUAGUUCUCCAUUGCAGUCUUCUGGCUUUUCUUUAUCGUCGACCAAUGGUGGUCACUCUUCAAAUUCCAGGGUUCCGGGGAGGGGUGUAAGCAUCGGUGGACUGCCAAACAAUCAAUCUGCCCCGUCACUUGAUCGAGCUGCAAGAAUUCCUGCUCAAAUCCAGCCCCCGAUAGUUCAACAGAGACCAGUUCAAACUCCAAAUCAAUCUGCAUUACGAACUUCCACUCAGCAGUUGGGUCAACGGCCUGGCAGUGGAAAUCAAGCUUCCUCUUCAUCUCAACCUCAAUCAACAAAUUCGUCUGAAGUUGGAGAAACUGAUUCACCUCCUGGAUCAAGUAAAUCCAAGACGGCAUUGACUGGAAGGGGGAAAACUAGCAGUCAAGGAACUGGAAGGGGCUCUAUUCUGUACAACGGAGCUCAGGUUAUUGGAGCAACUGGGACUAUGGGCCUUGCACAUGGGGACCAGGGCUUUCCUCGAACUCCAGCACUGUUGCCAGUUAUGCAAUUUGGUGGUCAACAUAAUGCUGGUCUUGGGGUUCCUACUGUUGGUAUGGCUCUGCCAGGAUACGUGGCUCAACCGCAGCUUGGUUUUGGGAAUUCUGAAAUGACUUGGGUGCCGGUAUUAGCUGGUGCUGCUGGAGCUUUAGGGACAUCAUAUUGCUCGCCCUAUAUAGCACUUGAUGGUAGUUAUAUUGCCCGUCCUUCAGGACCGGCAUCUUCAUCAGUUUCUUCCAGGGAAACUAGUGCAACUAAAUCUUCUAGUUCCUGGAAACCGCCACAGAGACCUGAGAUUGUGAAUGAUGAAUUUGGGCAACACCAGAACAAGCCUCGUAGAUAUUCAGAGAUGAACUUUGGCCAGUGAAGUACAUCCGUAAGAUCGUGUUUGAAUAAGCACCUUAAGGCCCAUUUGCUAGCCCUCUGUGAUUUUCAGUUUCUUAUCUGGAGCACUUUGGGCUGCCUAGUGUCCCAAAAUAUGCUAGAUAACAGCCUCCAUGUGUUCAACUGGGUUCAAUUCAUAGUACUGUUACACCACCCAGAAGAAUAGAAGCAGCAUGGGAAGAUUUAACAUGAUCUUGUAAUAUAUGUAUUGUUUGCCGAUGAGUAGAUAGUGUUGAUGGGAUUAUGGUUGUGUGAAGAAAAUGAGUUGAGGAGAGAUGUGGUGGCUGGAUCAUUUUAACAAGUUAUAUAACGCCUGUUAUUGCUUGUUGCUGUGUGAGAAGAACAUUACGCAGCAGGGUGGGUGGCACUCUUGUUUGCACCGUGGUAUUGUUGAAGUUGUUGAUAGAAGCUUGUGAGAAAUGUGACGAGCUUCUGUUAGGAGUGAAGAAAAGGGUUGAAAAACAAAUUGCAGUGGUUGUUAGGUUUACUUUGUACUAUGUUUUGCCGUGAAGUGUUGUCGGGUAGAAGUGCUUGUCGUAUGAGCUGAUGCACCUCGUUAAUCUGGAUGUACACUUGGUAAUAUGACUGGUAGCUAUGUUAUUACAAUGUUCUAGCCGGAUUCUUCCGUUUAGUCGUCGUAGCCCCGCUUGAGACAUGGUGUCUGGGGUUCGGCGUCAUUUUC